AGUGAACGCUGGCGGUAGGCCUAACACAUGCAAGUCGAACGGCAGCACAGUAAGAGCUUGCUCUUACGGGUUGCGAGUGGCGGACGGGUGAGGAAUACAUCGUAAUCUACUUUUUCGUGGGGGAUAACGUAGGGAAACUUACGCUAAUACCGCAUACGACCUACGGGUGAAAGCAGGGGAUCUUCGGACCUUGCGCGAUUGAAUGAGCCGAUGUCGGAUUAGCUAGUUGGCGGGGUAAAGGCCCACCAAGGCGACGAUCCGUAGCUGGUCUGAGAGGAUGAUCAGCCACACUGGAACUGAGACACGGUCCAGACUCCUACGGGAGGCAGCAGUGGGGAAUAUUGGACAAUGGGCGCAAGCCUGAUCCAGCCAUACCGCGUGGGUGAAGAAGGCCUUCGGGUUGUAAAGCCCUUUUGUUGGGAAAGAAAAGCAGCAGGUUAAUACCCAGCUGUUCUGACGGUACCCAAAGAAUAAGCACCGGCUAACUUCGUG
rnacentral:rRNA from 1 species